rnacentral:rRNA from 1 species
UACGUAGGGACCAAGCGUUGUUCGGAUUUACUGGGCGUAAAGGGCGCGUAGGCGGCAUGACAAGUCACUUGUGAAAUCUUCGGGCUUAACCCGGAACGGCCAAGUGAUACUGUCAUGCUAGAGUGCAGAAGGGGCAAUCGGAAUUCUCGGUGUAGCGGUGAAAUGCGUAGAUAUCGAGAGGAACACCUGUGGCGAAAGCGGCGCACUGGACCAUAACUGACGCUGAGGCGCGAAAGCUAGGGGAGCAAACAGG